rnacentral:rRNA from 1 species
GAUUAUAACCGAGCGGCGGACGGGUUAGUAACGCGUGGGAACAUACCCUUUUCUACGGAAUAGCCAUUGGAAACGAUGAUUAAUACCGUAUACGCCCUUAGGGGGAAAGAUUUAUCGGAGAAGGAUUGGCCCGCGUAAGAUUAGAUAGUUGGUGAGGUAACGGCUCACCAAGUCAACGAUCUUUAGCUGGUUUGAGAGGAUGAUCAGCAACACUGGGACUGAGACACGGCCCAGACUCC